CCUACGGGAGGCAGCAGUGAGGAAUAUUGGACAAUGGGCGCGAGCCUGAAGCAGCGAAGUAGCGUGAAGGAUGACGGCCCUACGGGUUGUAAACUUCUUUUAUAAAGGAAUAAAGGAAGGUACGUGAGCCUUUAUGUAUGUACAUUAUGAAUCCGGAUCGGCUAACUCCAGGCAAGCAGCCGCGGUAAUACGGAGGAUCCGAGCGUUAUCCGGAUUUAGUGGGUUUAAAGGGAGCGUAGAUGGGUUGUUAAGUAUGUUGUGAAAGGUGGGGGCUCAACCCUCAAAUUGCAAUUGAUACUGGCAGUCUGGAGUACAGGUGAGGUAAGCGGAAUUCGUGGUGUAGCGGUGAAAUGCUUAGAUAUCACGAAGAACUCCGAUUGCGAAGGCAGCCUACUAGACUGCCACUGACAUUGAGGCUCGAAAGUGUGGGUAGCAAACAGGAUUAGAUACCCCUGUAGUC
rnacentral:rRNA from 1 species